rnacentral:rRNA from 1 species
AGUGAACGCUGGCGGUAGGCCUAACACAUGCAAGUCGAACGGCAGCACAGUAAGAGCUUGCUCUUACGGGUGGCGAGUGGCGGACGGGUGAGGAAUACAUCGGAAUCUACUUUUUCGUGGGGGAUAACGUAGGGAAACUUACGCUAAUACCGCAUACGCCCUACGGGUGAAAGCAGGGGAUCUUCGGACCUUGCGCGAUUGAAUGAGCCGCUGUCGGAUUAGCUAGUUGGCGGGGUAAAGGCCCACCAAGGCGACGAUCCGUAGCUGGUCUGAGAGGCUGAUCAGCCACACUGGAGCUGAGACACGGUCCAGGCUCCUACGGGAGGCAGCAGUGGGGAAUAUUGGACAAUGGGCGCAAGCCUGAUCCAGCCAUACCGCGUGGGUGAAGAAGGCCUUCGGGUUGUAAAGCCCUUUUGUUGGGAAAGAAAAGCAGCAGGUUAAUACCCCGCUGUUCUGACGGUACCCAAAGAAUAAGCACCGGCUAACUUCGU